rnacentral:rRNA from 1 species
GACGAACGCUGGCGGCGUGCUUAACACAUGCAAGUCGAACGAAGUGGCGAACGGGUGAGUAACGCGUAAUCCACCUGCCCUUCAGAGGGGGCCAACAGUUGGACACGACUGCUAAUACCGCAUACUUCAGGAGGGGAUUGCGUCUGAGUAGCUAGUUGGAGGGGUAACGGCCCACCAAGGCGAUGAUCAGUAUCCGGUCUGAGAGGAUGAACGGACACAUGGGGACUGAGACACGGCCCAGACUACCACGGGAGGCAGCAGUGGGGAAUCUUCCGCAAUGGACGAAAGUCUGACGGAGCAACGCCGCGGGAGUGAUGACGGCCUUCGGGUUGUAAAGCUCUGUUAAGCGGGACGCGGUACCGGAAUAGAAAGCCACGGCUAACUACGUGCCAGCAGCCGCGGUAAUUC